UGGGUGGAUAUCAGUUGUUGAGUCUCAGCCAGUUCCCAAACAGUUGCAAUGGACUGCUCCAUUGAGGAAGACGAAACUCCAAUGGAAGCUGCAAGUGAAGACAUUGAAGACAAACAACAAGCAUUUACACAGUCUGUUGAGUCAUAUCAAAAGGAAGAAGUUGCCAAAUUACAAGAGAUAACCAGAGUAGCUGAGUGAGCUGUCAAGAACGCUGCUGUUCCAUUUGCAGAAUCACUGGACUUCAGUCAGGACCACUUUGGCAAUAAAACAUAUUUAUUGUUAUUAAUAUACAACAUUUGGUUUGGCGUUAUGGUUCUGUAUGGGGGUUCAACUUUACAAUAAUAAAGAUUAGCUGGGCCUGUAAUAACCCCCUGGAACCAUUAGCAUAACAUUGAAACAAUUACUGUACAAAUAAUGCAAUGAAAGAUAUGAAUGGAGAUGGAGAAUGAGACAACAUUCAAGGGCUGCUUGGAAGGCUUAUCUUGAUGCAGUGAUCUGAAACAGAGAGAGAAGAAAAACAACGAACAGCAAAAGUGCAGAACAUACAGCUGGAAGUGCAUAAUGUGGCCCAAAUCUGUUUUUUUUUUUUUUUUUUUGGCCUACAUGUGACUCAUAUCUAUUUUCCCCAUGAGAGUGUGAACAGUAUACAAACCACAUGGAAUCUGAUCUUUUCAAUUCCGAUUUGUGCCACUUCCAUAUGUGGUACUAAAUCCGAUACAGGUCAGGGGCCGUAUUCACAAAACAUUUUAUCUUACCACUAAGAGUUCUCCUAAAUGGCAGUAAAAGUUCUUAGCUAAGAGUUUUCUCUUAAAACCUAUUCACAAAGCUGCUGAGACCAACUUUUACUAAGGAAUAGAGAGAAAUCUUAAGCUAAGAGAAAGUGCAGGGUUGAUCUCGUUACUAUGGUCUAUGCCCACAGUGAUUGGUUGAUGGGGGAAGAGUCUCUGUCAGCGAUUUAAUCAUAUAAAUAUUGUAGAAUGAUGUAUCAUGUUGCCAUAUACAAAUAAAGGUUUUAAAAUAAAAA